ACGGGGCGCAGCAGGCGCGAAAACUUUGCAAUACGCGAAAGCGUGACAAGGAGAUUCUGAGUGGUUCUCAACUGAGAACCUUUUGACGAGUUUAGAUCACUCGUAGAAUAAGUGGUGGGUAAGACCGGUGCCAGCCGCCGCGGUAAUACCGGCACCACAAGUGGUAUCCGCGCAUAUUGGGUCUAAAGCGCUCGUAGUCGGCUGAAAAAGCCAUUGGUGAAAUCCUUGAGCUCAACUUGAGGGCGUGCCAGUGGAACUGUUCGGCUUGGGAGUGGGGGAGGUUAGAAGUACGCUUGGGGUAGGGGUUAAAUCCGUUAAUCCUGGGCGGACUAGCAGUGGCGAAGGCGUCUAACCAAAACACGUCCGACGAUGAGGUGCGAAGGCCAGGGGAGCAAACGGGAUUAGAUACCCCGGUAGUCCUGGCUGUAAAUGAUGUAGAUUUGGUGUUACGUUAGCCUCGAGCUGACGUAGUGCCGUAGCGUAGGUGUUAAAUCUACCACCUGGGGAGUACGGCCGCAAGGCUAAAACUUAAAGGAAUUGGCGGGGGAGCAC
rnacentral:rRNA from 1 species